UACGUAGGGUGCAAGCGUUGUCCGGAAUUAUUGGGCGUAAAGAGCUCGUAGGCGGUUUGUUGCGUCGGCUGUGAAAUCCCGAGGCUCAACCUCGGGUCUGCAGUCGAUACGAGCAAACUAGAGUGUUGCAGGGGAGACUGGAAUUCCUGGGUGUAGCGGUGAAAUGCGCAGAUAUCAGGAGGAACACCGGUGGCGAAGGCGGGUCUCUGGGCAACAACUGACGCUGGAGGAGCGAAAGCGUGGGGAGCGAACAGG
rnacentral:rRNA from 1 species